GAACGUCCUCAAUGGGGAACCCAAAAUGAUAAACUGCAGCAAUGUGUUUUGGACAAAACACCAGAGAAAAACCUCAACGCACUGCUUGAACACAGGGUCAGUUACAAAGUGCUAUUGGAAUGAAGCACUAUUUAUUGCACAGCAGAGACAAGUGAAGCAUGGAUUUUUCAUACUCAUCUGGAGACUAUCUUUUUCUGGAGUUUUUUAAAAUCUACAGUACAGAGAUCUCUUUUUCUUGUCAGUAGUAAAGCCAAUGUGAACAGUCUCUUUUGUGCACCAUUUGCCUUCAUCAUGAGGAAUAAUGGAGAUCCUAAUGGUUAAGAACAGUGAACAAAUACAAGUACACUCUUCAGGCCUUGCUUCAUAACUGUGAGACAAGCUGCAGCUUGGCACUGUAAUUAUGGAACAACAGAAGAGGCUUUGUACUUAAGGAUCUCAAGCCCUUGUGACAGGAUUCACUAGAGGAGCACUCCUGAUUUCUCUGUUGAAUUCUUAGACCUUCCAUAUCAGCAUGAACUUCUAGCACUGCAAAUUUCAAGAACUCUGAAACUGAUGCUAUGAAACACAGAGGUUGGCCUGAAUUUGUGGGAUUUUUCUUCAAAUCACAAAAUUGCUCACUAAUGCCCUCUCCUCCAGAAAACAAAAGAUUUCAAUCAUUGGCAUGAAAACAGUUUGGUUUGAAUGGCCCUAAAUUGUUCUCUUUGUAAAUUUUUUCCUUGAUGAAAAAAUAAAUGAGAAGUUUUAGAUGUGA